rnacentral:rRNA from 1 species
UACGUAGGGUGCAAGCGUUGUCCGGAAUUAUUGGGCGUAAAGAGCUCGUAGGCGGUCUGUCGCGUCUGCUGUGAAAAUCCAGGGCUCAACCCUGGACCUGCAGUGGGUACGGGCAGACUAGAGUGCGGUAGGGGAGAUCGGAAUUCCUGGUGUAGCGGUGAAAUGCGCAGAUAUCAGGAGGAACACCGGUGGCGAAGGCGGAUCUCUGGGCAUGUCCUGACGCUGAGGAGCGAAAGUGUGGGGAGCGAACAGG